rnacentral:tRNA from 1 species
GGUGGGGUAGCCAAGUGGCUAAGGCACAGCCCUGCAAAGGCUGCACACGCUGGUUCGAUUCCAGCCCUCACCUCCC